GAAAUUUCUGAUAUACCAAGGCGUCGAGGAUUCGGGUAGAUGCCGUGGCUACCAUCAGGCAUUAGUAUCCUCCAUCGCGCUGAAAUCGGUUUAUCGGUGGCCGAUAUCGGCGCAUUGCCAUUAGGUUGGUAGACUGGGUGAGAAGCCCGGCCGACAUGCCAAAGCUGGCAGAAAAUAAUGCUUCCCUUGGCAUGAACUGCGUCAACCACUUUCUUCCAAGCAUCUAUCUGCUCUUGUGUGUAUAUCCCUGGGACAUGCGGAAACCCAGCUGACGUCGGAGAAAUCAUGGUUCCCUCGGUGAUGAGAA
rnacentral:misc_RNA from 1 species